UAACUCUAAUCAAUAACCGUUACAAAGCCUCCUAAUUAGAAAUAACUCUAAUCAAUAACCAUCACAAAGCCACCUAAUUAGAACUAACUCUAUUCAAUAACCGUUACAAAGCCUCUGUGUGUGUGACCUCUGCUCUUUCCAUUUUCUUGGCUUGCAAGUCGCCGCUGGAGCCGGACAAGGUCAUGAUGACUUGCCUUACCUGGUGAGGUACUGACUAGGAAGAGUACAAGCCGCCACCACCAUGUACCAGAUGGCGCCGUCAAGGACAUCAUACUGCUGAUGAUCUACAGAAAGUUGAAAUGUGCCUAGCUCAAAUCCAUUUGUCACUCAAGCGUCUUCCUUUCUACUUCAUAUAUGGUUCUGCUUCUAUCUUUGCCUGUAUUGCUGAAGAUAGAAUGGAUCUUCUUAGGGCUGCGAUUAUUGGCCCUAAGGGAACACCCUACCAUGAUGGCCUCUUCUUCUUUGAUGCACAUUUUACCUCUAAUUAUCCUUCUGAGCCUCCGGUAUAUAAGCUUCCGGCAUUUUUAUCAUUUUACUAAAAUGCUUAACACUGAUGGUGCUGCAGUUGGUGCAUUACCAUUCUGGAGGGCUUUGACUUAAUCCGAACUUGUAUAAUUGUGGAAAAGUCUGCCUCAUUGGUUUUGUAAACUACCAUGAGGGCUCUUCAUCUCCAGUCGCUGGUCCACUGCUUCUCUGGUUUUAUAAAAAAGCUGCAGUAACAACUAAGCAUCCGAUAUAUAAUAACAUCAUGAAAGGGGCACGGAGCGGCGAUCCAAUAUACACCGGCGACGAAGGAAGUGGGGAUGGACAUUCGUGGAUUUGCCGUCCCUGAUUUGCUUUGUGGAGGUGUAAUCUUUCAUAAUGUGUUGUUAACAUAUCUCUGGAAUAAGUUCUUAUGUUCAGUACAUAUAGUUUGGCUGAUUAUCUUUUAGGGGCCUUCUUUGGAAAGGCUUCGACAGACUGUUUGAAUUACUGCCUUAUUAGGUUAAUGGAAUUUGAACAUGUGACUUUAUCUUAGUGUCAACCAUACAAAGGAAUUAGUGACCUGUUCUUAAUGAUAUAUAGAGGAGUAGGCAGUAAUGCAUGGUAAUAAUAAAAAAUGCAUCAUGUGUGUGUGCAGGACACAUGCCCAUGAUUCAUAAUGAUUUGUGGCAGUCUUAGAAGAAAAAUUCCCAUUGCUUUCAUCCCCUUUUGAGUGUCAAUUGCAAAGUUCAUCCGUUGGUGAAAGGAAACUGUACUCUUCUUUGUUUUA